GUGGUGUUGUUUGGCAUUGGCUACACAAUAGCUAUGGUGAGAUCCUCUGAUUCCUCUGCUCCCCGCCUCUGGUUGCUCCGAUAGAUGGUCACAAUUUGGUUAGCAAGGGGUUGUGGGUCGAUGGAUGCUAUGGUUCCUGUGAUGUGCCUGGGGUUCAUGCUAAUUGUUGGUUAUGUUGCUAGUGCUAUAAUCCGGUUGGUUAUGUUGCUCUGCUGGGUUUAGGAUGUCGAAUUGAGCCGGUUGCCACUGCUCUAAUCAUAUAGGCAUAGUACAUGAUUACUAGCAAUUCUGUUCCAAUGUAGGUGGUAUGUGUUAAUCUGUAGCCCAUGUGUGCUGUGUCGUGCUCAUGUGAGCAGGAAAUUACCAUGUGUAUUUCUGUUGCAAAUGUGUUCUGCCCAUUAGCAGAUCAUGAUGAUAUGCUACAGUACAUGGGUUUAGUUAUAUGAAAAUGAGCUGAUUUUCUUAUCUCUACUAAGGAAUUCUUCUUGUAUGAGUUUCAGUUUUUGAUGUUCUGCGCACUGACAGAUCAAUGGCCUUCUAUGAGAACAAAGAAAAUCACUCAUUCCUAGUUGUGUACGCGUGUAUCGACAAACAAGUUGGUUAUUGUAAAGGUGGCUCGUUGCCUCCUAUUUGCAUAGAAUGCUUAUUUAUUACCUCAACUAGGUCAUUGUUGUUGAUGUACCUUACCUCAACUAGGUCACCUCAUGAUUUGUCCAAGCUCGAGUCCAUGAUUUCUAGUUUUUUUUUUGAUUUGAUGUCAAGAUUAUCUUCUUAUUUCUUUUGUCCUUCUUGUGCAGCAGGAUUCGAUUCGGUACAAUAAGGGGUUCGUCGUGCCAGGCUUCACGGCGCUGCUGCUUCCAUGUGACGGACUGACGGUGUUGUUUGGCAUCGGCUACAAAAACAGCCAUGGUAUGGUCCUCUCAUUUCUCCACUCCCCGUCUCCGGUGGUUGCUCGGAGCUUGUCGUGUCCAUCGAGCCAUCACUAUGUGGUCGAUCUGCGUUCAUGUCCAUUGUGCCAUUUCUAUGUCUGGUCAGGCUGCUACAGUAUGUCCUUGCAUAGUGAUGAUGUUACUGUUUCUUUUUUUUUGCUCGUUUGCUUGUUGGUCUGUCUGUUUGGUAAUUAUCAUUCUACCACUAGUCUUCCUGAUACAAACUUCCCAUCCCACUCAAAAGUCUGAAACACUUCUUCGCACUCAACAACUAAGCAGCACAGCACACCUGAAUAUAUAUGCGCAUCUGUAUAUACUUAGUUUCCCAUCACCCACAUGGAGCGGUCUUGUUUGCUUCGGGAUGUAGUAUCACCACUACCUGCCUGCCUCCUUCCUGAAAUUCUAACAGUAUAUAUGUGGUCUGCGUACCAUGAUCUCAUUAUGGAGUGGUUUUUAUUUCCAAGGAUGCCUUCCUACUCCUACUAGUUCCAGUGUCAUACAGUUUGAUUAAAUCGAAACGAAUCAUUCAUGGUUGAGCAUUUUGUUUUGAUGAUUCAGCAUAAGAUCCGAUGUGACAUUGAGUUCAGUCUCUCCUGCCUUAGUUUUCAAAUUCAUGAUUUUCUUUCGCAAUUCAUGAUUUUAUUUGCAUGAAGCUUGGUUUAUGGUUGUCUAUGGAUCUUCGCUUUCUCUGUAUGUAUGAUAGCUUCUGUAUUUAGUUGUUGUUUGGUCAAAAUAUUAUGAUUGGCGAAGUUGUAUUUAUUUCCAAGCUGGCAAUGCUUUAUAGGUGUCUCUGUUUACUAGUACUUGAGAGGGAAUUGGAAGUAGUUUGUUAACUGAAGCUUGGUCCUGCUCGACACCAAGGAGAGGCGCAAGGGGGUGCCUAGCACCGGCGCCGAAGAAUGCUGGUGCUCCUCUUCGUCUUCGACCUGCUCUGCUCCUUCAAGGUAAGCUGGUCCUGGUCCUUGACCUGAUCAUUGGCGUCGCCCAUGAGUAUGAUGCUGCCAUGUUGAGUCUGUAAUUUCAUAGGCACACUUGUCUUGCUGCAGUACAGAUUCGCCGUAUCAACAGCCCUGGCUAGUGUUGCUGGAUUUAUAUUGUUCUCCUUGGGCUGGAACUCGAUUUCAUCCCUUAUUUUUCUGAAAUGGGACAUGUCUUUAAUUUCUGAAAGAAAAAUGGCAAUGCUGACUUGGCAUUUGACGGGUGGUUUUGAGAAUUAGCAUUAUGGAAUUUAUGUUAUAGGUUAGCUUGAUUAAUCUUUACUACGGGAUUUCCUUCUAAGGAGCUAGUGUUGUUGGGUUUUCUUCCAAGGAGCCAGUCGGGUUUUCUAUAGUCAAGCAUGUUAGUCAUAGUGGGAUACAUUUGUAUGAGAAAUGUCUUGGACAUCCUGUUAAAAGCAACAGCAUAUGCUAGAGCUACAAUUAAUUAUGAAUAACAACGCUGUUUGUUUUCAGCAUUUGCACUUCGCACUGAAGCAAAGUUAUCAUCCGUUAGCAAACUAUGAGGCUGUAACAUCACUGAAAGUUGUCUUAAAAGGGGUCAUGUUUCUUGUUGUUGUUUAUUGAUCUUCACAACUCAUGUGGUUUCCUCACCCAUGUAGGUGAUAGCCGAAUGGUAUACGCGCGAGAUUCAUCUUCCACUCAAACGCCUCACGCCCUGCCCCUCCAGUAGCUGAUUCUUCUUCGACUCUGUCACAUGUGGUAAGCUACUGGUUCCUCUCCUCUGCUCUCUCCCAUACUCUGUGUGCCCACCGCCAUCAAGCCAUGGUGAAUUUGUGUGCAUUAACGAAUGCAUUUCAGAAACAGCUUCAUCCUUGAUUUGUAGUGCACGAAUCAAUUUCUGAAUGGAUCAUCAUUGAUUUGCUUGGGUUGGCGAAUGCUUGGGCAUCGUGUACCAAAUAAACUUGUCUCAUUUUGAGCGUCGGGUCAAGGCCUUUUAUUUGUUGGCUGAUGCAUUGCAUGGGUGUACUGUGUAUGUAUGUAAAGGAGAUGGAUAAAAUUGGUAGUAGUUGUUUUCAGGAAGAUGUUGGCUUUUUUUAUUGAUGAGGGAGAAUAGUAAUCGCAAUUUCAUGGUAUAGGAGGGAGAAUUAACAAGGAGACAAAUUCAUGUUCUUAAAUAGCUCUUUCAGUUUCCUGUCUGCAUGAAAAGUGAGAACUGGAUUUUUAAAUCUUGCCUCGAUUAAAACUGUAUACAACUAAUUCUUGUAUCCAUUCACUUCAAUCUUCACGUUAACAUCUUGCUGGAGUACCGAUUCUUCUCACACGCACUAGACCUCUUAGGUUAUAUAUUUCUCAAGGGCUGCAUUUUAAUCAGACUUUGUUAAUUCCUGCCAAAACUGGUUUUUGAGCUCUAAGUUGUGAAGACUGGCCUCUAGUGCUGCCACUGGAGAACAAGCUUAUAUUGUCAAACUUUUUAUGUUUGGGGUGUUUUGAAGAUCUUUUGUUCAACUGCUUUACAGACACUCAGUUCUAGUUUUUGCCUUAUGUCAUCUCAUAGUAAAAUGAAUACUUUCUGAUACUGUCACCAUUUUAGUGGCCCGUUGAAGCGCUUCAUCUUCCUCGGUUUAGGUGAGCCCUUGGCCUUCAAGCCGACUAUUUUAGCGUUUGGAUCUAUGGUGGUGGGCCAGCCACCACAAUCUUUCUAGUAGAUGAAAUUGUCCAGUUAUAGUUUUAUAGGAUCUGUAUUCUAAGGCUUGGAGUUGUUAAUGGCUUACAAAUAGAACAAAAUGAUUUUAUAUUAUGUUGUGCUGUUGUCUAAUUUGCAAUGGUUGCUCUGCUAGGAUUUGUAGUAGUUAAUGGUUGUCACAUCAAAUAAAAUGAUGUUUUGCUAUGUUUCGAAGGUAUUUGUUUGUACGAUUGCAUAAGAAUAUAGUAGGUACUAUACUCGAUCUUAGUGUUCAACUAUGUAUAUAACCUUGUAGUACAAACUGUGUAUAAACUAUAAAGAUGAAGUCGUCUAGGAUAAAAGCCUAAGUAUGUGAUUUAUGUGGUAGUGGUGCUCGCAAUGGAACUGUCACAUUCUUUUCCUUGAGUUUAUUGAUAAAAUCUGAACAAUUGUUUUUGUAAGCUUGGUGCCUUAACUCCACCACUACCUUGACGCCCACACAGUUGGGCUCCACUUUGAUUUUCAAUAAAAUAUGUUAGUUUGCUCCAGUAUUUUACUAUUCUAGGAUGUUUAGAGUGGCUACUAGAUGUGCUUGGAUCUCCUGCAAACUUAUGUAACUUUUACCAUUUUUGAUAGAGAGAGCAAAUUUAUAGUGAAGCUUGAGAGCAAUUUUCAAUGUUUCAAGUGAAGCUUGGUUUAUCUAUAUUUUGUACUCCCUUCUGUCCAUAAUAUAAGAUUGUUUUGCAAGCUAAAACAGUUUGCAAAACGAUCUUAUAUUAUGGGACAGAGGGAGUAGAUAUUUUUUUGAUUAUUUGCAACUCGCCUUCCUCUGCUCCUCGCCCCUGGUUGGUCUGAGCUUGUGACCAUCGAGCCAGGGCUAUGCCAUGCUAGGGUUUGGCUAUUUAGAGAGAGCCAGGGCUAUGCCAUGAAAGUUUUUACUUUGUUAGUACAGAACAAAUGGGGUCUAUUUGCUUGCUGCUUUAUGGCUAUUUUUUCCCUUGCUUCCAAAAAUUUAAGCAUUAGAGAAUUGUUGGAGGCUUCUCACGCUGACACCUUCAUGUUGAACAUGUAUGGAUUCCGUUAUGCCCUUGUGCUUUUUACCCCCAUGUAUUCAGUGGUACAUGAACCAUUAAAGAACCGAUCCUAGUUAUAUUAACAAGAUAGGUAGCUUAGUUUAGGUUGUCAUGUUGUAAACUUGAAAUUCGUUGAUAGCAUGCGUUUUUUGGUCUACUUGUUGAGUUUCUCAAGUCGCCUCUUGUUGUUUUCUGUUCUAGGCAAUCGGUGACUGGCGUGUUGAUUGGAUCCAAGGGAGGAGCUUAUGGUGUGUUGACACCAGUCUGUCCUUAUCUUGUGGCGUUGACAUCAUAAUCAUGUCCAGCCGAAAGGUAUCCAAUGUUCCCCUCUAAUUGAAAGAAAACUAAUCAGUUUGCCAUGCAGCUCGGCUAUGUCGUUAAAGUUGAUGGACUCACUUUAUAUUCCAAGCCUUCUGUUGUUAUCAUAUUAGAUGGCCUUAAGCCAUAUUUAUUGUAAUAAGUUUUCUUUUGAGACAUUCUAUGUAAUAAGUGUGUAAUUGAUACUCUGUUAUAAAUCCUUCGAGUACUAUGUGUGUCAGCAUUAUCGAUCCAGGGAUGACAUUAAAGCACAGAGACUUGACCGUUUGAGGUCGGAUCGCUACAUUCACCAUAAUCCACCUCGAUCAUAUUGUAGCGGUGCUUAGGCGAAGCCUUGCGUCGGUAGCAUCAUCAUCACCGUCACCACGCCAUCGUGCUGACAAAACUCUCAUGUGAAGCUUUGCUGGAUCGGAGCUCGCAGGACGUCAUCGAGUUGAACGUGUGCAGAACUCGG
rnacentral:lncRNA from 1 species